GACGAACGCUGGCGGCAUGCCUAACACAUGCAAGUCGAACGAAACCUUCGGAGCUAGUUGCGCACGGGUACGUAACGCGUCGGAACGUGCACUUAGGUUCGGGUUACCUCCCCGAAAGUGGUGCUAAUACCGGGUAAUGUACUCCUACCAACGCUUUAAACAUUUUGGCUGAGCACUCGGUGGAUUAGCUAGUUGGUAGGGUAAAAGGAUACCAAGGCGACGAUCCAUAGAUGGUCUGAGAGGAAGAUCAGCCACACUGGGACUGAGACGCGGCCCAGACUCCUACGGGAGGCAGCAGUGGGUGAUAUUGGAACAUGGGGGAAAUGCUGAAGGAGUAAGGCUGGGUGAGCUAUGAAGUUCGUAGGGUUGUAAAGCUCGUGUACCUGGGAUGAUAAUGACAGUACCGGGAGAAUAAGCUCCGGCUAACUCCGUG
rnacentral:rRNA from 1 species